UAAUACGUAGGGUGCAAGCGUUAAUCGGAAUUACUGGGCGUAAAGCGUGCGCAGGCGGCUUUGCAAGACAGAUGUGAAAUCCCCGGGCUUAACCUGGGAACUGCAUUUGUGACUGCAUGGCUGGAGUGCGGCAGAGGGGGAUGGAAUUCCGCGUGUAGCAGUGAAAUGCGUAGAUAUGCGGAGGAACACCGAUGGCGAAGGCAAUCCCCUGGGCCUGCACUGACGCUCAUGCACGAAAGCGUGGGGAGCAAACAGGAUUAGAUACCCUGGUAGUCCACGCCCUAAACUAUGUCAACUGGUUGUCGGGGAAGCAAUUCCUUGGUAACGAAGCUAACGCGUGAAGUUGACCGCCUGGGGAGUACGGCCGCAAGGUUA
rnacentral:rRNA from 1 species